UUGACAAAAAAACAGGGUGGCGCAGUAUUCUAGUCAGUACUGACGAUUCUGAAGACGGGCCUAAAAAUCCGUUUAAGGGCAUAUCGAUGAAGUUCCUUGUGUCGGCUUGUUACGCCCAGUGGUGGGUUGAUGCUGGGAGUUAAGGCUUAGGGGCGAUCCGCAAUGGCAUGCGGGCGUGGACCCCUUUUCCGUGGAGACCCUUACUUGUGGAAGAAAAGUCAAGCUUUUGCUUGCCACCUCGACUACGAAAAGGGAUUAAACCUGUUAUGCGGUGUCUUUAUGAUGGCUGUGAACAGUGUAGCCUGCCUUGAGUGAAAUCAGGUGGAUAAUGGAUCAGAUGCUUCAUGUAUUGGCCGAUAUAUAAGCAUUAUUGCUAUUUGAAACCCUUUUUGCAAAAGAGGCUAGGAAUCGUUUUGACUGCCGGGGAAAACCCCUAGACUGUUCUUAAUAAGUGGUUUAUUGGGGAUUAAAGUGUGGACUAAGUGGUAAUCAGGCCCCGUAAACGGAGACGUACGGUGAUGUGUUUAAAGGGAAACCACUGGUUUGGCGACAUUCCAGCACAUAUCAGGGAAAUCCUGCCUGACCUAAGCCGCAAAAUUUACUCAAUAAACUGCCACCUGUUUUUCUAUUAAA
rnacentral:sRNA from 17 species